AAUAGAUACCCGGGUAGUCCACGCCGUAAACUAUGGAUGCUAGCUGUUAGAAGUAUCGACCCUUCUAGUAGCGAAGCUAACGCGUUAAGCAUCCCGCCUGUGGAGUACGGUCGCAAGACUAAAACAUAAAGGAAUUGACGGGGGACCCGCACAAGCGGUGGAGCGUGUUGUUUAAUUCGAUGGUAAGCGAAGAACCUUACCCAGGCUUGACAUCCUUGGAGGGCUUCCGAAAGGAAACUGUGCCCUCGGGAACCAAGUGACAGGUGAUGCAUGGCCGUCGUCAGCUCGUGCCGUGAGAUGUUUGGUUAAGUCCAUCAACGAGCGCAACCCUUUUAGUUAGUUGUAUUUCUCUAGCUAGACUGCCCUGGUAACAGGGGAGGAAGGAGGGGAUGAUGUCAGGUCAGUAUUUCCCUUACGUCUGGGGCUACAAACACGCUACAAUGGCCGGUACAAAGGGCAGCCAAGUCGCGAGACGGAGCAGAUCCCAUCAAAGCCGGUCUCAGUUCGGAUAGCAGGCUGAAACUCGCCUGCUUGAAGCUGG
rnacentral:rRNA from 1 species